AUAUUUCACAAAAUUCCGCUAUUUCUUCAAGUUUAAACCGUAAGUGAGGGAGAGUCAAGAGAGUAGAAAGGAUCCAGCUAUGUUGGAGGGGAGAAAACAGAGGAAAGCUGGUGCAUAUCACCCUUGAGGUAUCGAAGGAGAAGCAAGUGGCUAUCUGCAUUUUUUUUCAGCUUUGAUUUGUGAGGAAAAAGGGAGGUAACAAUUGCUAUAAAACCCCUCAUUUUUCUAUUACUCUUGAGUACUCUAGUUGUAUGUUAAAUUUAAGCCAAAAGGUGGGAGUUUAGUGGAAGAAAAAUAUACUUUUCUAAGUUAUAGGUUGCUGGAAUUUAGUGACAUAUGCUGAUAGUUUUGAUUUGCAGCUUUGUAUUUGGAACUUUGAUGGGUUUCCUUGCUAAGAACUUAGGUCAUAUGAUUAAUCCUAUGUUAAAAAUGAUAUAUGGUGUAUUUGCCAUGAAAAUGAGUGAGAAAUUAGUGGCUUGGAUGAAAGAAAUUUUGAAGGAACCUGGUUGGAAAAAAAAAUCUGUGGGCUGACCAAUUGCAUAAAGUUGAAUAUAUCAGUUUUACUUUAAAUUUGGAGUGAAGUUUUGCUAAGAUUUCAUGUUUUAUAUCAUGACAACCGUGUAUAUAGAAGUUAGUAUGUGUAUAUGGUUGAAUCAUAGUUGUAUGUUCAUUGAUUUGGCUGAAAAUUUGUCUAAGAGAGCUUGAGAAAAAUUGGAGGAACUUUGUUCCAUCCUUGUCACAGCCUGCUAUCUCAUCCCUUUGAGGGGUUUGUACUAGGAAGUCAUGCUCUAAAUAUUAUAUUUUGUGUUUAGUAUGCUAUAGCAUGUUGUCUUUGAAUUUGGUAGCAAAUUGCUGGCUUAAAUGUGAGUUAUUAGCAGCAAUAAAGUUGGAAUAACUCAAGUGAAAGGUUGAAUUUCGAGUGACAGUCACCCUUGGGCAGUUUUAGUAAAAUGAUCAUAACGUAGUCUAAAAAAAAUCAAAAUUAAGUGCCGUCUAUUGCGUUUGAAACUAGACUCAUAGAUCUUUCUAACGGUAUAAAAUUGGAGCUGUGGCUCAUUUUACAUAUGCACCAGAAAAUCGCCCAAGUUGACUGAAAAAUGUGCCCUGCACAAAUAAAAACUGGGAUGUUGUAGUAAAUUGUGCCUCAAUUUGGACUAAUUUAUGAACCGAAUCUCCUUGAGGUGUUUCUUUAAGAUUGUUAGUAUUUCAAGUCUAGUUUUAAAUGAGCCAAGUUGUACAAGUUUUUGACAUUUAUAACUCAAGUUAUGAUUUUUCCAAAGAAAUAAUGCUUGCUGGAAUUUCAGCUUUGAUUGCUAAAUUUUGAAGAUGAUUUUAACCUCAAUUUGCUCAAAAUACCAUAUAAGACUUUAAACUACAAGUAUGUGUUGGAAAUGAACCAAAACCAUGGACCUUAAGUGGUUUAGACUCUAUUUAUCUCACUGUUUUCAUAGCUGGAAUUCUACUCAAGGCUGACCGAAAGAGAUAGUGAUUUUGUUUAGCUUUACAAUUGGCUUUGUUUGGUGAAAUCAUCUUGUUAAUGUCUUAAACAUAUGAUUAGACAUUAAUUUUGGUAUGAGUAGUGAAUUGAAGUAGAAAAUGAAGGUUGAGAGGUGAAAAAUUCACUUUCACAUGUUUCAUGUCCCAAGCGAUAAAUUUCCAGUUUUAGUUGAGGAAAAUGAGUGUUAAUAUGUUAAUAUCAUGUUUAAUAUAAAUGUUAGCCAUGUCAUGUGAUUUUUCUAGCUUGUGCAUGUUCUAUUAGUUUGCAUUUGGAAAUUUCAGCUUGUAGAUUUGAACUUUUGCUUGAUGGCCAGCCUUGGUAUGGAGACAUGUGAGUUGAAUACUUGUCUAUUUUUGGGGGCUUUAUGGUCUGAAACUAGUAGCUUGUAUAGCCUAUCAUUUGUGGUCUUGAUUUGGAUGGCUUGGCCAUGAAAUUUUGUAUUGAAUUUGGAGAGGAAAUAUAGGAUAAAACAGGGGUUAUGCUGUCCAAAUUUUGGGGCAGCUUACUACCUUGAUUUUGGACUGAUUUGGUGAUGUACUUGCCUAAUAUGCUUAGUGAACCUUUAAGCUUUGCUUAUGUAUUGCAUUCUGGUUGAAAUGGAAGGGUUUCAUUGCGAUUUUCUUCCAAAUUGCUGGCUAAAAUUGUGCUUGUUUGUCGAUGGAGAGUGCAGCCUAUUACAUUGUUGUUUUUCUAACCUUUUAGUAAUUGGUUUUGGCCAAAACUUGUUCCAAACUUUGGAGGAGCCUUUUGUGCGUGAAUUUGAAUGAAAACUAUGAAGAUUGGGAGGUGAAAACCUCAUGAUUGUACUUGUUUCAUGGCUGCGAAAAAUUCUGAUUUGGAGAACAGUUUUGCACCUUGCUACCUUUUAGCCUCAACGUCUUUAGUUUGAAAGUCUUUUGGACACAACCUCGCUGACUUGACUUGAGAAAACCUUGUUUCUUUCAUUGGUUCGCUGCUGGAAAAUUUCCCGCCAUGAAGCGAAUAAGGAACUUGUUGGUUAUUCAUGUUUCUUGAGUCCAAAAUGCUCUUAUACGCUUCAAAACCCUACUUGAGUUUUUGCCCUAGAAUAUACUUAAAUUUUUCCUUGAUUUGCAUUCUAAAUAUGGCUGUGUAUGUUGGGUUUUGAAAAAAUUCAACUUGGAGAGGUAUACGACUCAUAGCCGAGUCUAAAUUAUGAAUUCUAUUCACUUGGCUAUUCUUAGGGCUUGUCUGAUCAAGGGGGCAAUCCAGGAGGAAACUUUUGACGCUAUUUUUGCUUGAACUAGUGAGUGUUCCAACUGCAAGUUCCAUGCUACUUGUUGCGCAAAUAUGACCUGUAUAUGACUUGUUACUUGAAUUGACUUGUUAUUACAUAGGUGAGUGUGUACUUUAUCACACUCGACCUAACUUGACUGAAUUCCUGUUUUACUACUAUAAGUUAAUUGUUUACAAGUGAAUUGAGAUUCAUGCGCAUGAGUUGAAUGUAACGGCCUGCAUCCUAAACCCUAUAGGCUAGAUAAUCGAGUCGAGCCGGCAAGGGCCUGGUCGAUUAGAUAACGAACCCUGGGUCUACUGUUUUGUCGAAUGGAGUGUUAUCUCCUCGACUAAUUGGUAUACUCGACUAUUACCACCACUGUUUAUGUUUAGAGUUCGGGCCCGGUAGGGGGUUGAUUGGUGGAUGGAGGUUGGAGUUAAGUGGUGAUCUACUGGAUUUGUUAUGAUUCCAUGGUUGACGGAGUGUCAACAGAUUUUGAACAAGUUGUCACGGACUGUUCCCGAGAACAGACUGUAUCCUUUUAUAUGCAUGUGUUAUCGGCUGUACAUAGUUAAAUGAGUUGUCUGGAUGUUAUCUUCUUUAUGGAAAAUGUGAUCAUGCUAUCAUGUGAAUGCUAAAAUCCCUAAUUGCUUCUUGUUCUCUUGGAACCUCACUGAGCUUUUAACUCAUCCCUUCAUUUGUUUUCCUUAACAGGGUACUGGGAUGACAAGGACAAGAAUAGUGCUAGUUGUAAUAGGAAAUCUUAA
rnacentral:lncRNA from 1 species